GACGAACGCUGGCGGCGUGCUUAACACAUGCAAGUCGAACGGAAAGGCCCUGCUUUUGUGGGGUGCUCGAGUGGCGAACGGGUGAGUAACAUGUGAGUAACCUGCCCUUGACUUUGGGAUAACUUCAGGAAACUGGGGCUAAUACCGGAUAGGAGCUCCUGCUGCAUGGUGGGGGUUGGAAAGUUUCGGCGGUUGGGGAUGGACUCGCGGCUUAUCAGCUUGUUGGUGGGGUAGUGGCUUACCAAGGCUUUGACGGGUAGCCGGCCUGAGAGGGUGACCGGCCACAUUGGGACUGAGAUACGGCCCAGACUCCUACGGGAGGCAGCAGUGGGGAAUAUUGCACAAUGGGCGGAAGCCUGAUGCAGCAACGCCGCGUGCGGGAUGACGGCCUUCGGGUUGUAAACCGCUUACGCCUGUGACGAAGCGUGAGUGACGGUAAUGGGUAAAGAAGCGCCGGCUAACUACGUG
rnacentral:rRNA from 1 species